GACGAACGCUGGCGGCGUGCCUAAUACAUGCAAGUCGAGCGAACAGACGAUGAGCUUGCUCCUCUGACGUUAGGGGCGGACGGGUGAGUAACACGUGGAUAACCUACCUAUAAGACUGGGAUAACUUCGGGAAACCGGAGCUAAUACCGUAUAAUAUAUUGAACCGCAUUGUGCAAUAGUGAAAUACGGUUUUGGUGUCACGUCUAGAUGGAUCCGCGCCGCUUUAGCGGGUUGGUAAGGUAACAGCUUGCCAAGGGAACGAUGCGUAGACGACGGGAGGGGGUGAUAGGCGGCAUUGGAAGUGGGACACGGACCAGACUCCUACGGGAGGGAGCAGUAGGGAAUGGUACGCAACGGGCGGAAACCUGACGGAACGGCGCCGCGUGAGUGAUGGAGGUCUUGGGAUCGUAAAACUCUGUUAUUAGGGAAGAACAAAUGUGUAAGUAACUAUGCACGUCUUGACGGUACCUAAUAAGAAAGCCACGGCUAACUACGUG
rnacentral:rRNA from 1 species